UACGGGGGGGGCAAGCGUUGUUCGGAAUUACUGGGCGUAAAGGGCUCGUAGGUGGCCAACUAAGUCAGACGUGAAAUCCCUCGGCUUAACCGGGGAACUGCGUCUGAUACUGGAUGGCUUGAGUUUGGGAGAGGGACGCGGAAUUCCAGGUGUAGCGGUGAAAUGCGUAGAUAUCUGGAGGAACACCGGUGGCGAAGGCGGCGUCCUGGACCAACACUGACACUGAGGAGCGAAAGCCAGGGGAGCAAACGGG
rnacentral:rRNA from 2 species